UACGUAGGGGGCAAGCGUUGUCCGGAAUUAUUGGGCGUAAAGGGUGCGUAGGCGGGUCUUUAAGUCAGGGGUGAAAUCCUGGAGCUCAACUCCAGAACUGCCUUUGAUACUGAGGAUCUUGAGUUCGGGAGAGGUGAGUGGAACUGCGAGUGUAGAGGUGAAAUUCGUAGAUAUUCGCAAGAGCACCAGUGGCGAAGGCGGCUCACUGGCCCGAUACUGACGCUGAGGCACGAAAGCGUGGGGAGCAAACAGG
rnacentral:rRNA from 1 species